GAUUGAUGGCUGUUUUCCAAAUGUUGACAUUAUCAGAAGCCUGACCUCCACGUGGCAAAGAAGGGCCUGUUUUAAGAGGCCUCACCAAACAGCUGGCUGCAAAGGGCUGCUCUUUGAGACCAGGUUGUCUGCAGAGUCCCGAGCUGUUGGGGUUGGCCGGCUGCCUUUCUUCUCUGGCGGUGUGUGUGUGUUCUCCGUGUUUCCAGGGUGAAGCGCCCACGAGCAGGUAGAACCACAGUGGACUGAGGCUCACCUUUCUAGACCUGAAAGCUGGGAGAAGGCGGAGGAGGGGGGCCCUGAGUCCCAGCCUCUCACCUAGGAUGUGAGCUGCCCCUGCGGAUGGCACUGCUGGAGAUCUUGAGAAGCCGCUUCUGUGUGGGAUGGGGUAAGUGGGGCGUUUGCAGACGUCUGGGACGAGGUUCAGGUUUUUUUUUUGUUUGUUUUUAAAAUUUUUUUAUUAUAGUCGAUUUACAAUAUUCUAUUAAUUUCUGCUCUACAGCAAAGGGAGGUUCAUUAUUUGUGACUCUUGUUUUGGUGGGAAGAGGGGCUCUGAUUCUAACCGCUCAGAAUCUAAGGCUUUGAAAUUGAUUUCCUGGGAACCUUCUGAUGCUUUGGGUCCCUCUUUAGAGAUGGGGCACACCCGUGCGUGGCACAUGGAAGUUCCUUGGCCAGGGACUGAACCUGCACCACAGCAGUGACAACACUGAGUCCUUUACUGCUAGGCCACCAGGGAACUCCUUAGAAUCCCUUUUCCUUGGCUCAUUGGAGUGGGCAGGCUAGUCUUUUAGGCUUGAUGAGAAGGGGGGGGUGCGCCAGGGCCACUGUGAGCUGAGUGGGUUUGCCUGCCCCCCACUGAACCUCCGCCGAUAGGCACUGAUUCCUUACGCCUUGAGUCAUGAGGAAGAGGAUUCUCGCAAAUUUUCAGAUCAUAUUGUUUUAGAGACUUUCCAGGAUAACCCUCCUGGCUUCUCUCUUGCCACUAGAGAAGGGAAAACAGGAAUAGACUUGGACAGCAGCAGGGGAAGCUUGGUAUCAGAAUGGGUUUUUUUGGGGGCUGAUGGAUGUGAGAUCAUAGCACUUUUAACACAGAGGGUGGAGCCUUCCUCUAAACUGGGAAGUGGGGAGUUCCCGUCGUGGCCCAGCGGUAAGGAACUCGACUAGGAUCCGUGAGGGUGCGGGCUUAAUCCCUGGCCUCACUCGGUGGGCUAAGGAUCCAGCAUUGCAUGAGCUGUGGUGUAGGUCACAGGCUCAGCUCAGAGCUGCUGUGGCUGUGGCUGUGGCUGUAGCGUAGCCUGGCAGGUACAGCUCUGAUUCGACCCCUGGCCUGGAGACUUCCAUAUGCUGCAGGUGUGGCCCUAAAAAAAAAAAAAAGGUAAUCUGGGCAGUGGCUUUGGUUACAGUGGAACAUUUCAUGUAACCUGAAAUUUACGCUCUGCCCAAUGGGACGUCAUCAUUACGCCAUCAUUUCCGGGGGGCUUCCGGCGGAAAGGACCAGUGCAAAGAUGCAGGUGUGCGGGCGCUGGGAGAGACAAAAUCUGUGGCAGAGACCCCUCUCCUCCCUCCGGUGUGUGGCAUGAGGCUCUUCUGGGGAAGUCCCCCACAAAGGGACCUGUGCGUUGCAUCCCUUUGGCCGCAUAGGGACAGUGACGUGUGCUCUGAACAACCCCCAUGUACCUCGUGGGGGCAGGGUGAUUUAGGCCAAAAGAGGUUAUAUAAAAACCCAGAGGGGAACGAAGCCACUCAGGCCUUGUUUCUAGGUGACGUCAUGCUGCACUAUUUAACAUUUAUCAGAUUCUGGUCCUAUGCUGAUUGAUCCAGGAUUUGAACAAAAUAUGUGACUACUGACUUAAUGGAGAGGCUGAAUCACAGGUGCUUCCUGAGGCAAGAGCCCUGCAAUUAAAAAUAUAUUUUUUUUUUUUUACUGUCGUGGGAACACUGAACACAAGAUCUACCCUCUUAGCAGAUUUUAAGCUGUACAACACAGUAUUAGCAAUAGAUUCAGUAUUUUAGGGCAGAUCUCUAGAACUUACUUAUCGGGCAUCACUGAAAUUUUAUACCUGUUUCCACCUGUUGGCUGCUGUAAAAUUCUUCAUGAACAUGGCGAUGCUAAAUAUGUCUAUGAGAACCUGCUUUUAUUUCUUUUGGUUAAAUACCCAGGGGUGAGAUCGCUGGGUCAUAUGACAAUUCUGUUUUUAAACUUUCAUCCGUAAUGGCUGCAAUGAUUUCCCGUUCUGAUCCCUGCAGUGUGUCCUUUCCUACCAGCCUAGCAGCCCUGCAUUGCGGGUCUUGCUGGGACCUGUUCCUCCCGUCUUACCUGUUGCUCCUGGCAGCCUGGAUCCUGACAGGCAGCCUUGGCCACUCCCCUUCCUGCCUGCACACAGCAGCCUGGAGACCUCUUGCUCCAGUUCGCAUCGCGUCGUGUUGUCAUAAUUGGUUGAUUGGCUUUUUUUAAAAGGAGUAAAAAAUAACAUAAACGCUACUAAUGCAGUAAUAAAAUGUUUAACCUCUUACAGUACAUACCUUCCGUGUUCCCAUCCCUACAGAUCCACGUUAUCUUUUGUGCAAAUAAGCUUCCCCCACGUGCUUUGAUCCUUCCAGCCACCCCUUCUGUUUGUUGGCGAGCUGGCCACAGGGGCUGAUCCCCCUUUGACGUGGAGGCCUCGCACCCCUGGGGACCAUCCUUAGUUGGGGCUGAGGGAAGGCACAGAUAUUUUGUGCCCUCGGGAAGGCACAGAUAUUUUAGGACAACUCUGAAGUUUCCUCUGUCCUGUCUCCAGAGAGCCCCUGUGGCUUCUUUCUCCCACUGUCCAACUGGUUUUCUCUGGAAAGGUAGGAGUUCUUAUCUCUGGCCUAAGCAACUUGUUCCAAGCAACAGCGUUAGAAAGUGAGGGAGAUGGGAUUUGAUCUCAGGUUACCAGGGGCUGUGAUCCUUUUUUUUUUAAAGGGCUGUACCUGUGGCAUAUGGAGAUUCCCAGGCUAGGGGUCCAAUUGGAGCUGCAGCUCCUGGCCUACACCACAGCCACAGCAACGUCACAUCCGAGCCUUGUCUGUGACCUACACCACAGCUCAAGGCAACACUGGAUCCUUAACCCACUGAGUGGGGCCAAGGAGUGAACACACGUCCUCAUGAAUACUAGUUGGGUUUGUUACCACUAGGCACAACGGGAACUCCCCAGGAGCUGUGGUCUUAACCAGAAAGCUCCCUUGUGUUUUUCCGAGGCAGGGGCUGCUUGUCCUUUUCUGUAUAUUUGCCUCAUCAUGGAUUACAGUGACUGCCACCUGGCAUCCUGCAAAUGCUUGCUGAAUGGGUGGCUGAACAGCCUGGCAGACCUCUGCCCUGUCCCCACACAGCCUUCCUGAGAUCUGCCUCUGGGUGUCUGCUGGGUCACCUUCUGGGAUGACCUUCCCCCAGCUCUCUUUCAGAGUCGGCACAAGCCCACCUCUUAUUUGCUGCCUUUCCAGUCUCUCCCAGCCUAGAAUCAUUUUUUUUCCCCUCUCAGAACCAGUAUUAUUGGUCACAUGUGGCCUUUUGUAUCUUCUCUCCUCCCAACCUGACGACUGUAAAUCCUUGAGAAGCGGGGGUAGUGCCCAGAACCACACAGUAAGUGUUUGGUGAUUCGAUUCUUUGGGGAUGAAUCAAAACCUCGGGCUGAGCUGUCCAAAGAAAUGCCAUGGUCGUUUUUGGGUUUUAGGAAUGAAAGAAAAUAGUGAGGUCAAGGAACAAAAUUGAAAAAAAAAAAAAAAAACAUAAAAUAAGUAAGGGGGCACAUUGAAAAAUUGUCGGCCCAUUUUGGGGUGAGUCCAUGUGUGCAUUUUCGCGCUGCAGCUGUUCAGGCUGAAUCACAGGGUAGGUGUGUCAUCUCUUGGCUUCGAGCUCGGUGGCUAGGCAUCUGCCCUCUGGGGGAUCGAAGCAGAUUUAUGUGAUGAAUAAUGUGGAUUCUCGUCCAGCACUUGGGAUGUGGUUUGACAAACUUCAUGCAGAUGGCAGGGGAAACACAUCAGGUGUCUUUACCCACUCAUCCCCCUCACCCCCUGAGACACAACAAGAAUGUCCCUCAGCUGAGUUUGUGUGUUGAGGUCCAGCCGAGGGUCAGCCUCGCUGUCCAUAGUGGCUUCUCUUUGGCCAACUGGCGGCGCCCCCACUGAAGGGUCCUGGGUUGCAACUGAACAUGGAAAGCCUACGUGCAUUGAGCACCUAUUGUGUGCCUGGCAUUCUGCUCAGUGCUCUCAAUAGUGUACGUGACUGAGCCUCCCUGUUCACACUAUGGACGUGCUGUCCUCCCCAGGUCCAGCUGCUAGAACCCACAUAACCUCUUGCAACUCACACCGUUGUGGUGACCCUGGAUUCGAACGGUGCUUUCCCUGGCCUCGAACCCCAUGACCCCCUCCCCUGCAUCUUGACCUUCCCUUUUGAGUACAGAGGUGUUUUAUUUUACUUUAUUUGUAUUUAAAAAAUUUUGUAUUACAGUUGAUUAAAAUGUUCUGUCGGGAGUUCCCGUCGUGGCUCAGUGGUUAACAAAUCCGACUAGGAACCAUGAAAUUGUGGGUUCGAUCCCUGGCCUUGCUCAGUGGGUUAAGGAUCCGGCAUUGCCACGAGCUGUGGUGUGUAGGUCGAAGGUGCAGCUUGGAUCUGGCGUUGCUGUGGCUCUGGUGUAGGUCGGCAGCUGCAGCUCCGAUUGGACCCCUAGCCUGGGAACCUCCAUAUGC
rnacentral:lncRNA from 1 species